GGGGAAUAUUGGACAAUGGGCGCAAGCCUGAUCCAGCCAUGCCGCGUGGGUGAAGAAGGCCUUCGGGUUGUAAAGCCCUUUUGUUGGGAAAGAAAAGCAGCCGGCCAAUACCCGGUUGUUCUGACGGAAACCAAAGAAUAAGCACCGGCUAACUUCGUGACAGCAGCCGCGGUAAUACGAAGGGUGCAAGCGUUACUCGGAAUUACUGGGCGUAAAGCGUGCGUAGGUGGUGGUUUAAGUCCGUUGUGAAAGCCCUGGGCUCAACCUGGGAACUGCAGUGGAUACUGGAUCACUAGAGUGUGGCAGAGGGUAGUGGAAUUCUCAGUGUAGCGGCGAAAUGCGUAGAUAUUGGGAAGAACACCAGUAGCGAAGGCGACUUUCUGGGCCAACACUGACACUGAGGCACGAAAGCGUGGGGAGCAAACA
rnacentral:rRNA from 1 species